GUAAUCGCGGAUCAGCAUGCCGCGGUGAAUACGUUCCCGGGCCUUGUACACACCGCCCGUCACACCAUGAGAGUCGGGGACACCCGAAGUCCGUAGUCUAACCGCAAGGGGGACGCGGCCGAAGGUGGAUUCGAUAAUUGGGGUGAAGUCGUAACAAGGUAAC
rnacentral:rRNA from 1 species